AACCUCCGGGGGCAGAGGUUCGACUCGAGCGCAGCGAGAGAACGUUGCUUCAGCAACGGCCCGCAGGGCGCGUCACGCAGUGACGUGUAAUCCUCUGGCGCCGACCA
rnacentral:sRNA from 1 species